AUCUGACCCGAAGACUGCAACAUCACGCCAGUCUGUCAUCAAAUGUAGACAAUUCACACGAGAUACCAUAUCAACAGAGAAACAACGAUGACAGUACGUGUCGCACCAAUUAGUAAUUUUGAUCACAAACAAUACCAUCUUUCUAUUUUUAAUUCACUCAAUUAUCGUAUCACAAGCUGCAAACCAUCAUCAAUGACGCAUGGACUGGAGCCACACCACCAAUCCCAAGCACUGCUCGAGUGAUAGCACUUUCAUAGGAAAGAAACAACCAAGUUUCAACGCAGAAACGUGUCUUAAGUAGAAAAAGAAAGAAUUGGACCGCACUUUGCAAUCAGGAACUAUCAUUUCCAAACCACUUUACGAUUGGCAAAAUACACAUUGACGAUUUACAAUUCCAGAUAGAAAAAUUAACAGUAACUCUGAGGGACAGGCAAAAUUAUAAGGAAGAUGUAGCUCUCAAAAACAGUAGAUUGACUGGAAUUAAGGAAGAGCGCAUCUAUCAUUAACUGCCCUAUUUUUUCUCACAGAGAAUGUAGCAAAAGACCCCUUACAUGACCACUUAGAGGGGGUCGCGAAGUAUGACUUCGUUGUAAUGCUUCAAGGUUUGGUGUAUAAAAAUAAUUUAUUUACAUUAGAAAUCUUAAACCAUGCUAUUAAAACUUUGGCUAUGGAACUGUUGAUCGAAAUAUCCCUCCGCUGAUAACUGACGAGGAGUUGAGAGGAAACAAAAUUCGUAUGACUGGGUCUGAAAUGUUGACCUUUUGUCAAUUCUUUGGCUUGUACAUUGGGCAUUUGAACAUUGCUCUCAGGCGUAUUCUUGACAUAACUUUUUCUUCAUACUUAUAGCUUGCCGGCAUCACAUUCCGGAAAUUGUACUGGCGGCAGUGAUUGAACUAAAUUUGAAUCCAUCUGGAGGCCUUAAUAUUAAAUUGUUCCAACGGUUUCGAGAAAAUUGGCAAUCAAUGGAUUUGGCACAAUUCUCGACGGGAGUAUCUGAUGAACGCGUUAUGUUGGCUCUUGAUGGAGACGAAAUGGACUUUAUUCUUAAAGCCACUGAGCAGUUAAAGACGUUCCAGCCAAGAGACGACUACAGAGAAAUGCUAUGUUUAGUCAUCAUCUUCCUCGGAGGAGUGCCACCUUCUGGCAUACGGUUUAUGGCUCCU
rnacentral:lncRNA from 1 species